GGUGUAUAGCUCAGUUGGUUAGAGCGUCACGUUGACAUCGUGAAGGUCACUGGUUCGAGUCCAGUUAUACCC
rnacentral:tRNA from 1 species